rnacentral:rRNA from 1 species
GACGAACGCUGGCGGCAUGCCUAACACAUGCAAGUCGAACGGGAAGGCUUCCUUCUGGAAGUACACGAGUGGCGAACGGGUGAGUAACACGUGGGUAACCUACCCUUGGCUGGGGGAGAACCGCGGGCAACUUCGGCUAAUACAGCAUAACGUGCAUUGCCUCAAGGUGGUGUAACAAAGCUCCGGCGGUGAAGGAUGGGCCGGCGGCGGAUUAGCUUGUUUGUGAGGUAACGGCUUACCAAGGCGACGAUCUGUAGCUGGUCUGAGAGGACAAUCAGCAACACUGGACCGGAGACACGGGUCAGACUCCUACCGGGAGCAGCAGUAGGGUAUCUUGCGCAAGGGGCGAAAGCCUAAAGCGGCAAUGCCGCGUGAGGGAAGACGGCCUUAGAGUUGUAAACCUCUUUCAGCAGGAACGAACACAGACGGUACCUGCAGAAGAAGCCCCGGCUAACUACGUGCCAGCCGCCGCAGUAA